rnacentral:rRNA from 1 species
ACCAUGCAGUCGACGGUGAAGCCAAGCUUGCUUGGUGGAUCAGUGGCGAACGGGUGAGUAACACGUGAGCAACCUGCCCUGGACUCUGGGAUAAGCGCUGGAAACGGCGUCUAAUACUGGAUAUGAGACGUGAUCGCAUGGUCGUGUUUGGAAAGAUUUUUCGGUCUGGGAUGGGCUCGCGGCCUAUCAGCUUGUUGGUGAGGUAAUGGCUCACCAAGGCGUCGACGGGUAGCCGGCCUGAGAGGGUGACCGGCCACACUGGGACUGAGACACGGCCCAGACUCCUACGGGAGGCAGCAGUGGGGAAUAUUGCACAAUGGGCGGAAGCCUGAUGCAGCAACGCCGCGUGAGGGAUGACGGCCUUCGGGUUGUAAACCUCUUUUAGCAGGGAAGAAGCGAAAGUGACGGUACCUGCAGAAAAAGCGCCGGCUAACUACGUGCCAGCAGCCGCGGUAAUACGUAGGGCGCAAGCGUUAUCCGGAAUUAUUGGGCGUAAAGAGCUCGUAGGCGGUUUGUCGCGUCUGCUGUGAAAUCCCGAGGCUCAACCUCGGGCCUGCAGUGGGUACGGGCAGACUAGAGUGCGGUAGGGGAGAUUGGAAUUCCUGGUGUAGCGGUGGAAUGCGCAGAUAUCAGGAGGAACACCGAUGGCGAAGGCAGAUCUCUGGGCCGUAACUGACGCUGAGGAGCGAAAGGGUGGGGAGCAAACAGGCUUAGAUACCCUGGUAGUCCACCCCGUAAACGUUGGGAACUAGUUGUGGGGACCAUUCCACGGUUUCCGUGACGCAGCUAACGCAUUAAGUUCCCCGCCUGGGGAGUACGGCCGCAAGGCUAAAACUCAAAGGAAUUGACGGGGACCCGCACAAGCGGCGGAGCAUGCGGAUUAAUUCGAUGCAACGCGAAGAACCUUACCAAGGCUUGACAUAUACGAGAACGGGCCAGAAAUGGUCAACUCUUUGGACACUCGUAAACAGGUGGUGCAUGGUUGUCGUCAGCUCGUGUCGUGAGAUGUUGGGUUAAGUCCCGCAACGAGCGCAACCCUCGUUCUAUGUUGCCAGCACGUAAUGGUGGGAACUCAUGGGAUACUGCCGGGGUCAACUCGGAGGAAGGUGGGGAUGACGUCAAAUCAUCAUGCCCCUUAUGUCUUGGGCUUCACGCAUGCUACAAUGGCCGGUACAAAGGGCUGCAAUACCGUGAGGUGGAGCGAAUCCCAAAAAGCCGGUCCCAGUUCGGAUUGAGGUCUGCAACUCGACCUCAUGAAGUCGGAGUCGCUAGUAAUCGCAGAUCAGCAACGCUGCGGUGAAUACGUUCCCGGGUCUUGUACACACCGCCCGUCAAGUCAUGAAAGUCGGUAACACCUGAAGCCGGUGGCCCAACCCUUGUGGAGGAGCCGUCGAAG